CCGUAACAGAAGACGCAAUAGAUCAGAGUGAAUAUGACAUUUAAGGUGAAACAAUCCUCUGAGGGUACUUUUAGAACUGUACGAAAAUGGUAUAUAGAUAUCGUGAUUCGCUAUGUCUGUAAAAUAAAUGUCUCUUUGAUGCUAAAUGGUAUUGAGAUUUACUGUAUACUGAUGUACUUUGAUUUUAUAAAAGCUAUCUUGUUAGUACAGAGUAAUUACACUUUUACAGACAUACGUAAAAAGGAUAUGUUGAUGAUAUUUUAUAACUGGCCUGGUGGUCUCGUGGUAACACGCUUGAACUAUCAAUUCAGAGGUUCUGGGUUCGAAUCCCGGUCCAGGUGAUGGAAACUUCUAAGAUGCUCUUGAGCUUCUCCAGCCAAAUUAAGAACCCAGUACUGAUUCUUCCCAGCAAAGACGACUUUGCGCGCAUCGUUCUUAUACAUUAGACACGUUAAAGAAACAGACCUAAAAGUCUGUUCUUAGGGCUUUCCCUCGCUCUGUCCGUUUGAUCAGAUUCGGUGUCCUGAGUGGAUGCCUUCAUAUGUGAAGUGCCUUUUAACGUAUAUCUAUUAUAACAGUAUUCAAUGUUAUAGUACUAUAUUUUGGAAAUCUUAAAACUAAGCUCUUGUCGUUAAAAAUUGCCGAAAGUACAUAUAAAAGUACAGAUAUUGGCAAAAUGACAAGAUUUAUUUAGCUGGUAUAUGGCUAUAUGCGUGUUUCUUGCUGUAUCAUGCAGCAGUAUUGAAAUUUGAUAGCAUUAUUCAAAAGUAUAUUUUGCUUUUUGAUAAUGAUAUCUGUUUAUGUAUGAGACAGGUGCAACUGCCGAUUAAGUAACAUCAGUAAGCGGAAGCAGAAUAAAUAUUAAAGCAAAAUUAAAUGAAUUGAAACAUAACAACAGUUAAAAUAAAAGUGAGAAAAGUACAAAAAAUAUGUAGAUAUUUGAAGGAAAAAAGUAGGUUUCAACAGAAUUGAGGUACGAAUUAUAUAAGAAAAGACUGUUACGAAGACAAUACCACUAAGUACAGUUUAGUAAGAAACGUUUGAAAAUAAAAUGUGUUGAUGAAAAUAGAUGUAUUUUGAUCGCUGGAGCACAAGUUGCUCAAGGUGAGCUGUUGUGAUCCCAAGUGUCCGUCAUGCAUCGUCAAAAAUUUUACUAUUAGCACUCUAGAGGUGAAACUUGGUAUUUUUCGGAAUGUUUGCUUUAAUUGAUGAAAUUUUGGCCAGGUUAGAUAUUAGGUUAUCUGGAGGUAAGAAGUACAUCAGGUGAGCGAUACAUGGCUCUCUUUGUUUUAAAGAUGUAGGUAAAAUGGAAUUUCCCAUGUCUAAGAAUUAAUGAGUAGGACAAUGAACAGUGUACUUUAAUGCAAAAACAAGGCGGAUGGUGGUGUAAAUGAAAUAUUCAAAUUAGUAAGCGUAGAAACGAAUGUUGAUUUAAUAAUUUUUUUUUAAUUUAAUGGCAUAACAAAAUGUCCAGAAGGUCUAAACAUCCAAGUGAAAAAUGAAAAAUGAUUCUUAUAAUUCUUAAGAUAAAUAUUUCUUAUCAAGAUUACCCUUCAGUGAACUCCGUAGCGAAUAAACAUGUUUACUUCUAUUAACCGGGUUCUUCUAUCAAUGAAACGUUAUGCCAAGGCCGUGUAUCGGUUCUUCACAUGUAACGAGAAUGGAAAUUGGUCGUUAUUGUGAUACUGUUUACAUUGUAUUGGGUUACUAAUCAAACAUGUUACCAAUUGUUUCCAAUAUAACAAAACAUGGUUCUGCUUGCCGAAUUAUUUAUGAAUUAAUUAUUAGAUUUAUUUAUGAAGAAGCAGGUGCAAUUUCAUUGUUUAUAGUUUUAAUACUUUAAACAAUUAACAUUUAAACGUUUUUGUUUUUUAAAUGUCAUGGUUACUUCAAAACAAUAUAACACCAUCAGCGAAGAAGAAUUUUUAGCUGCGCGUACGCGUGAUGUUGUGGAAAGUUUAUUAAGCCUGAAUGCGCAAUGAAUCAUGCCAGAUGUUAAAUUACUAUAUUGUUCCCGGAAGUGUUUUCGGUAUAUUAUUUCUAAUCUAACGAUCUGUCAAUACAGCCAUUUUAGUUCGAUCUUUAAGACUGUAGGAUCGAAUACCUUCAAGAGAGGAAUUUCACUGCGGUGCUUGAUUAAGUACAUUUCUAGGUCACACGCUGGUGUUCCAAGAUAACAAAAAAAAAAAUAGAUAACUUUAUUAAGUAAAGACUUGAAUGUAAACAAUAAAUAUAUCAGUUAAACCAAAGUUGGUGUAACCCAUUACCUUCUAAUAUUCAAACAGAUGUUAAAUAGCAGCAUUUUUCAAUCUUUGAAAUGACUGGCUUCGAUUAAGAUCGGUAAUAAAUGAAUUAUAACCUGCCCGGAGAUAAAUACAAGUACAUCUUUAUAAAAACAAAGGUACAUUUGUAGUCUCAUUACGGUAUGACGUAAUAAGUGUUCGUGCAGUUUCUAA
rnacentral:lncRNA from 1 species